UACGUAGGGUGCAAGCGUUGUCCGGAAUUAUUGGGCGUAAAGAGCUCGUAGGCGGCUUGUCGCGUCUGCCGUGAAAACCCAGGGCUCAACCCUGGGCGUGCGGUGGGUACGGGCAGGCUAGAGUGCGGUAGGGGAGAUUGGAAUUCCUGGUGUAGCGGUGGAAUGCGCAGAUAUCAGGAGGAACACCGAUGGCGAAGGCAGAUCUCUGGGCCGCUACUGACGCUGAGGAGCGAAAGCAUGGGGAGCGAAC
rnacentral:rRNA from 1 species